UCCUCCUACAAAGGUGUGUGUGUGGUUCCCUGUCCUUGGACAAGAAAGAAUCGGAGGCAAAGAAAUAGGAGCUUGGAGAAGUCUGGGGCCAGCUUGCUCCUUGAAGGCUCCAUUGUACCCAUCCCACAUUG